rnacentral:rRNA from 1 species
AACUCACUUAGAGUAAUGUCUAAGUAUCAUUAAGUGAAUACAUAGCUUAAUGAGGGGAACUCAGGGAACUGAAACAUCUAAGUACCUGAAGGAAGAGAAAGAAAUUCGAUUCCGUAAGUAGCGGCGAGCGAACGCGGAUUAGCCCAAACCAAUAAAGUUUUCUUUAUUGGGGUUGCGGACAUAUCAUAACGAAGAGGUAUCGUAAUUGAAGAGGUUUGGAAAGACCCACCACAGAAGGUAAUAGUCCUGUAUGUUAAACGAGAAGACUUUAGAUAUGAUCCAGAGUACCACGGGACACGUGAAACCCUGUGGGAAGCAGGAGGGACCACCCUCCAAGGCUAAAUACUACCUAGUGACCGAUAGCGUAUAGUACCGUGAGGGAAAGGUGAAAAGAACCCCGGGAGGGGAGUGAAAUAGAACCUGAAACCCUGCACUUACAAGCUGUGGAAGCACAUUUCUUGUGUGACCGCGUACUUUUUGUAGAACGGGCCAACGAGUUACGUUAAGUAGCAAGGUUAAGCACUUAAGGUGUGGAGCCGUAGCGAAAGCGAGUUU